AGGGUUUGAUCAUGGCUCAGAACGUACGCUGGCGGCACGCCUAAUACAUGCAAGUCGAACGAAGUAGCAAUACUUAGUGGCAGACGGGUGAGUAACAUGUGGGUAUCUUCCCUUUGGUGAGGAAUAACACGAGGAAACUUGUGCUAAUACCUCAUAAGUCUUUACGGAGAAAGCUUUAUGCGCCAUUGGAUGAGCCCGCACUUGAUUAGUUUGUUGGUGGGGUAAUGGCCUACCAAGACUGUGAUCAAUAGCUGAUUUGAGAGGAUGAUCAGCCACAUUGGGACUGAGACACGGCCCAAACUCCUACGGGAGGCAGCAGUAGGGAAUCUUGCACAAUGGAGGAAACUCUGAUGCAGCGAUGCCGCGUGAGUGAAGAAGGCCUUUGGGUUGUAAAGCUCUUUCGUCGGGGAAGAAAAUGACUGUACCCGAAUAAGAAGGUCCGGCUAACUUCGUGCCAGCAGCCGCGGUAAUACGAAGGGACCUAGCGUAGUUCGGAAUUACUGGGCUUAAAGAGUUCGUAGGUGGUUAAAAAAGUUGGUGGUGAAAUCCCAGAGCUUAACUCUGGAACUGCCAUCAAAACUUUUUAGCUAGAGUAUGAUAGAGGAAAGCAGAAUUUCUAGUGUAGAGGUGAAAUUCGUAGAUAUUAGAAAGAAUACCAAUUGCGAAGGCAGCUUUCUGGAUCAUUACUGACACUGA
rnacentral:rRNA from 1 species